rnacentral:rRNA from 1 species
UACGUAGGUGGCAAGCGUUGUCCGGAAUUACUGGGUGUAAAGGGCGUGUAGGCGGGACUGCAAGUCAGAUGUGAAAUUCCCAGGCUCAACCUGGGGGCUGCAUCUGAAACUGUGGUUCUUGAGUGCUGGAGAGGAAAGCGGAAUUCCUAGUGUAGCGGUGAAAUGCGUAGAUAUUAGGAGGAACACCAGUGGCGAAGGCGGUUUUCUGGACAGUAACUGACGCUGAGGUGCGAAAGCGUGGGGAGCAAUCAGG